rnacentral:rRNA from 1 species
GAACGCUGGCGGCGUGGAUAAGACAUGCAAGUCGAACGGGAGAAUUGCUAGCUUGCUAAUAAUUCUCUAGUGGCGCACGGGUGAGUAACACGUGAGUAACCUGCCUCUUAGUGGGGGAUAGCCCUGGGAAACCGGGAUUAAUACCGCAUACGAUUGAAAGAUCAAAGCAGCAAUGCGCUAGGAGAUGGGCUCGCGGCCUAUUAGUUAGUUGGUGAGGUAACGGCUCACCAAGGCGAUGACGGGUAGCCGGUCUGAGAGGAUGUCCGGCCACACUGGAACUGAGACACGGUCCAGACACCUACGGGUGGCAGCAGUCGAGAAUCAUUCACAAUGGGGGCAACCCUGAUGGUGCGACGCCGCGUGGGGGAAUGAAGGUCUUCGGAUUGUAAACCCCUGUCAUGUGGGAGCAAAUUAAAAAGAUAGUACCACAAGAGGAAGAGACGGCUAACUCUGUGCCAGCAGCCGCGGUAAUACAGAGGUCUCAAGCGUUGUUCGGAAUCACUGGGCGUAAAGCGUGCGUAGGCUGUUUCGUAAGUCGUGUGUGAAAGGCAGGGGCUCAACCCCUGGAUUGCACAUGAUACUGCGAGACUAGAGUAAUGGAGGGGGAACCGGAAUUCUCGGUGUAGCAGUGAAAUGCGUAGAUAUCGAGAGGAACACUCGUGGCGAAGGCGGGUUCCUGGACAUUAACUGACGCUGAGGCACGAAGGCCAGGGGAGCGAAAGGGAUUAGAUACCCCUGUAGUCCUGGCAGUAAACGGUGCACGCUUGGUGUGCGGGGAAUCGACCCCCUGCGUGCCGGAGCUAACGCGUUAAGCGUGCCGCCUGGGGAGUACGGUCGCAAGAUUAAAACUCAAAGAAAUUGACGGGGACCCGCACAAGCGGUGGAGUAUGUGGCUUAAUUCGAUGCAACGCGAAGAACCUUACCUGGGCUUGACAUGUAAUGAACAACAUGUGAAAGCAUGCGACUCUUCGGAGGCGUUACACAGGUGCUGCAUGGCCGUCGUCAGCUCGUGUCGUGAGAUGUUUGGUUAAGUCCAGCAACGAGCGCAACCCCUGUUGCCAGUUACCAGCACGUCAAGGUGGGGACUCUGGCGAGACUGCCCAGAUCAACUGGGAGGAAGGUGGGGACGACGUCAGGUCAGUAUGGCCCUUAUGCCCAGGGCUGCACACGUACUACAAUGCCCAGUACAGAGGGGGCCGAAGCCGCGAGGCGGAGGAAAUCCUGAAAACUGGGCCCAGUUCGGACUGUAGGCUGCAACCCGCCUACACGAAGCCGGAAACGCUAGUAAUGGCGCAUCAGCUACGGCGCCGUGAAUACGUUCCCGGGUCUUGUACACACCGCCCGUCACAUCAUGGAAGCCGGUCGCACCCGAAGUAUCUGAAGCCAACCGCAAGGAGGCAGGGUCCUAAGGUGAGACUGGUAACUGGGA